GAAUUCAACUCCUACGGGAGGCGGCAGUGGGGAAUUUUGGACAAUGGGCGCAAGCCUGAUCCAGCAAUGCCGCGUGAGUGAAGAAGGCCUUCGGGUUGUAAAGCUCUUUUGUCAGGGAAGAAACGGCCAGAGCUAAUAUCUUUGGCUAAUGACGGUACCUGAAGAAUAAGCACCGGCUAACUAUGUGCCAGCAGCCGCGGUAAUACGUAGGGUGCAAGCGUUAAUCGGAAUUACUGGGCGUAAAGCGUGCGCAGGCGGUUUUGUAAGUCUGUCGUGAAAUCCCCGGGCUCAACCUGGGAAUUGCAUUUGAGACUGCACGGCUAGAGUGUGUCAGAGGGGGGUAGAAUUCCACGUGUAGCAGCGAAAUGCGUAGAUAUGUGGAGGAAUACCGAUGGCGAAGGCAGCCCCCUGGGAUAACACUGACGCUCAUGCACGAAAGCGUGGGGAGCAAACAGGAUUAGAUACCCUAGUAGUCCAGGCGUU
rnacentral:rRNA from 1 species